AAAUAAUAUACCAGGAUACCAAAUACCGGAAACAGAUAUCGGCUGGCGAUAUAUGGGCGGUUAAACGAAGAAUGGAUACACAUAAGAAAGAGAACUGGAGAAGGGACUUCUAUCCCAUAUGAACACGAAAGAAGAAUCGUUAGAUUAAAAUGUUUGAAUUAGGAACCGGUAGCCAAUAAUCCCAAAAAGGUCAUUUCUGCAUGCUAUAAAGUGGUGGAAAAAAGAAAGAUGUCGAAAAAAGGAUAUAUAGGCUCAUAGACAUUCCUUGUUGUGGAGGAUUUUGACAUUGGAAGUUGAUAACAACACAUAAAAUGCCACCCAGUUAAUAGCUUUAAGUGAAGAUGCACUGAAAAGUGGAGCGGACAUUGUAUGUGAUCGUACAAGAACUGUUGGAAUUUGCAAACUUUUAAAAUUUCAUUGUGACAAAUACCUAUAUCAUAAACUAUCUAAUUAUCACAUUGACAUGCUUUUUUGGUUAGGAUACAAAUGAUGUUGCAACUAUCUAGUCAUGUAGGGGAAAAUCAUUAUUUGUGAUAUAUAUUUUAAGUCAGUUUAAAAACAUUAUGUAUGUGAUUUCACUGACUGUUACUUGUGAUAUCAUAAGGUAUCUGGUGUACUUUUCUUACAUAUAAUAUGCUCAUUUGAUUACAUAAAGAAUUACUUGUUA